rnacentral:rRNA from 1 species
CCUACGGGAGGUAGCAGUGGGGAAUAUUGGGCAAUGGGCGCAAGCCUGACCCAGCAACGCCGCGUGAAGGAAGAAGGCUUUCGGGUUGUAAACUUCUUUUGUCAGGGAAGAGUAGAAGACGGUACCUGACGAAUAAGCCACGGCUAACUACGUGCCAGCAGCCGCGGUAAUACGUAGGUGGCAAGCGUUGUCCGGAUUUACUGGGUGUAAAGGGCGUGUAGCCGGGUUGACAAGUCAGAUGUGAAAUCCUGCGGCUUAACCGCAGAACUGCAUUUGAAACUGUUGAUCUUGAGUACUGGAGAGGCAGACGGAAUUCCUAGUGUAGCGGUGAAAUGCGUAGAUAUAUGGAAGAACACCAGUGGCGAAGGCGGCCGCCUGGCCUGUUACUGACGCUGAGGCACGAAAGCGUGGGGAGCAAAUAGGAUUAGAUACCCUUGUAGUC